UUUUAUUUGCCCAAGACGGGCACGAAUAAAUAAACAGGCGAGUAGAUUUCUCAUUGGCUGACAGCCGAGGUUCUCCCCUCCCUCCUUCCGUGCGCCGCCUUCCCGUCCUAACCGUUCCUCCUCGCGCUCUGCCUCCGGCGGCCGUUCGUUGGUCCCACCUCCCAGCGUGUAAAGCCGCGUGACGAAGGCGGGCCGGCCGCCGCGCCAAAGCCCACGCGGAGGGAAACGUGUACUGGGCGCGGCCUCUGCGCUUGGCCCUCCCGCCCGACCUGGUCUGGCCUAACUUAGCCACGGCCGCGGGGGGAGGGGGGGGGCGAGGGGAGAAGGGGCAUGACCGCCUCGUGCUCCCUCUCACUCCCGAGCCUCCGGCCAGGUUCCGCCCUCCGCCCGGGUGUGUCUAGCUGGCGGCGCCCGCUGCGGUCAAAGCUCUGCUGCUCCUGACGGGGCAGGGCGGGUCCGUCUGGGACGGUCACGGGCUUGUUGGAAAGGGUGCGGAAGGGAGAGGCUGUCUCGGCGGCGGAAAGCAAACCCAAAGCCGAGCGCUUUCGCAAGGCAUGUUACGAGCGGGAGACCCAUGGCUGGAUUUCCUACCUUAACAAACAAACAAACACCACUAUCACCGUGCCUCGGGGCUUGCUCCAUUAUGCGAGGCGGGGGAGAGGGUUGCUUACCGCCUCACCCUCCAGCUGCGCCAUUUUCCCCAUCGGAAUCCCGCACACGUGCCAGAAUCCCACGGUGGCAGGUCCUUAAUUGGGCUUUUCUUACCAUCAACAUGUAAACUGAAUACUGAGGAAUCCAAACAGGGAAGGAAACUAAUCUCUGGAGUAUACAGAAUUGCCAGCGAAGACACUCAACACUGGGGGGAAAACCCCUCAAAAGAACUUUCUUGCUUGUAAUGUUAGGGGCGGGAGUAGGGAAGAGGCACUACCACGUCUGCUAACAAGAUGUGUCAAUCUCUUGGAAUACCAUGUGUUACAAAAAUGCCCUGGAGAACAAAACCUCACUAGGAACAGAGUUUACAGCAGCCUUGCUUAGCUGUCAUUUGAUGCCAUUGAGAGAAUAUUAGAUGACACCAGAUUCAAAGAUGUGCACUCCCUUUAGGACACACAGGAGUAACACGUAAAGUGUGAUUGCAUAAUUAAUAUUGCACGACUGUAUAAAAAACAUAAAUACUAGCUAUCCAAAGUUUUUUUAAAUACAAAAUACAUGUCACAUACUAUUUUAGUCAAUAAUUCUUUUCAAGUGCAAUUUAGGUGCGUCCUUCACUCCUUCCUAUAAAAAGGCAUUUUUGGCACCAAUGUAACCCUCUCCCCAAUAAUGUGCCAAUAUACAUAAACCCAUACUUUCUUAUAGCAAUCUUCUAUACAUACAGUAUAUAAAAAAGAGUUAUUUACAUAAUGAGCCAGGCAUACACAGAAGCAGCUUUAAGGGUUGAAUUUCACUCUUGUUAUGAAGGGACACACACACUCACGCAAGCCACGCAUUAGAGUUAUGCUGGUUGCUGUGGGUUCACAUUGAUAGAAGAAGGAUGCCCUAGGAGACCAAUGCGCUGUUUUUGCUUCCUCUGCUCUGUCAUCUGGAAAAUUGAAACAUUUACUCAGUAGACAUAAGCACCUCCUGUAUGCCAGACCACAGAGCAAGCUAUUGCUGUUAUACUGUGGUCAAGGUUUAUUCUGAAACAAAGAGCACCCUCCCAUCUGAUACAACCAACACAAUUAGAGAAAAACAGAGACAACCCCCACCUGCCCACACACCAGUAUGGAGAAUCCAAAGAGAGCACCCAAGACUUCAAUGGCCUCCAGAAUCCAGUAAUGGCAACUUGAAAAUGCAUCUCAGGCUCUUAGGAGCUUGCCUACUGAGUAUUUACAAUGAGCUGGUUCAAACAAUAAAUGUUCCAUCUGCACGGGGAGUCCCGAGGCACAUACUUGUGUGGGCAAAUGUAAUAUUCGAACCAAUGAUCACAGCAAAUUCUGUAACUGUGGCAUUUUAGUCAGCUGCCCCAGUGGUGAAAAUUGCUGUUAGAUGUGUGAACAGAGCAAUGAGUAUGACAUUUCAUUUGUCUGGGGGUUGUCAGGACUUCUCACAAUGACUAAAUAUAUUGGCUGAAUCUCUGGACUGAAAUUCUGAAGAACAGCAUAUAGAUAGAUAAGCUUUAUUACGAUCGUAGAUCAGACUGUACAACAACAAAAACAUUACAUAAAACUAGAGCAUAUAAUACAAACAACGUAGCAGAACCUAGCCACCUUGAAACUGAUCUCUUUACAAAAGUUAGAUAACAAAAACUCUAAAUAAAAUUCAUCGGAGUGACCUGGAAACUUCACCAAAAGGGGAGUAAUUAAUUUUAAAUGAGCAUCACUAUAAAAUUUACAAUAUAAAAUAACAUGAAGGGUAGUUUCUAUGGCGCCCAUUCCACAGGGACAAAUCCUUAAAUUAAACUGAAUCCCUUUAUAUCUACCAUCCCUAACCGCCGUUGGAAGGGCGUUUAGGCGGGCAAGAGUAAAUGGACGCCUAAAUUUAGGGAUAAAAAUAUUAUCUAAAUACGCUGCUGGAUUGGAAUUAAAAAGUUGUUUCCCCAGACAGAUGCCACUCCUUAGAUUAGGACAUGAUCAGGCCUGGCAGGUUAUUAAGUAGCAUAUUGCUGAUACAGAAUUACAAGUGGAUACAGCCUACCUAAGAAUUUCCUCAUGGGAGAACCCAAAUUGAAGAAGUUUGUUUUUAACCAAGGUCUUCCACUUAUAAUUAAAGUCAUCAAUCAUUACUAAGGAAGCCAGCAUUACAUUAAAAACAUAAUUUUUCUGGGUUUGGAGCACUAACUCCAAAGGCUAACUAAUAUUAUCAGUAGAGAGAGCAGUUGGUACACUGGCCCUCAACUAUAACAUGCUUAAACCAUGUAAAAGAACUCUUGAAGGAGUGAAUCUUGAAUAAAUAAGUGCUCCUGUUUCAGUGUCAAACCUGAAGUAAAUUGGUAUUUUCUGGUUCAGACCGGUGUAUCUUCAUUUGCCCGAGUAAUUAACAGGUCAGGCUUUUUUUUUUUUUUUUUUAAAGAGCUCUGGCUACAUGACAAUGGAAUUCUGUUAUACAUACAUACAUACGCACACACACACACAAAUAAAUAUUUUAAAUAUGACAGGUGGAAUGGUUCUGCUUCUGUUGAUCUUUGUAUAAACUCUGGAGGUCACUCAACCUCUUGCAAUUUGUGUAUUAUGGGCUUUAAAAAAAGGGGGUUGUUUUUAAUUAUAUGUACAUGUUUGCAUAUGGUAAUAAAAUGUAAAAUUACUCGUA